rnacentral:tRNA from 1 species
GGGUUGUUAGCUCAAUGGUAGAGCAGCUGACUUUUAAUCAGCGGGUUCUGGGUUCGAGUCCCAGGCGACCCA